AACAGUCUUCAGCCCUACAUUAGGAUGGCCUAAGGAAAAAAAGAAGACUGAAUAAUAUUCCCUGAGGAAGCUGUACACUUGCGCCUGGAUGCCAAAUUCUCUCAAAAGGGAAAACUGACUUAGAAAUGGAUUUUUCUUUUUUGUUUUCCUCCAGCUGACUUAGGUAAGUAAUUAGUCUUCUGGAAGGAUUACAGGGAAGCAGCAUCAAAGAAAUGGAAUCCAGCUAAUUCCUCCAAUAAACUGAAGUUUUCAGAACAUGACUUGUGAAAAGUAAACAUAAGCUGACAUCUUUUCACACUGAACAGCAAGAGCCGAAGUGUAUCCAAAAGCCAUUGUCAAAGCAAGGAGUGAGAACAGCUAGGGUCAAGACCUUAUGAAGGGGAUCACUGAGCCUCUUUGAGCCUCAGAUUCCUCAUUUGUAAUAUGGGCAUAAUAAUACCUCACAGGGUAGUUGUGAGAGCAAAAGAGAUAAUGGACAUGAAGGUACCUGUAUACUCCACGGUUCAUCAGAAUAUUGACUAUUAGUGCUUUCAUCAUGGGACUCCAUCCAAACCCCUGCUUUCCCUCCCCCCAGUAAGUGGUUGCCCUCCACCCACCCCCAAUCUUCUAAUAAUGUAGACUGGAAACCCAAGCAUCAUCUUUGUCCUCCUUUUCAUCCCCUACCCCAAUUGGUCUUUAUCCACAGUCUCUUUUUUGCCUUUCUUUUUUGAGACAGAGUCUCACUCUGUCACAGAGGCUGGAGUGCAGUGGCGUGAU